rnacentral:rRNA from 1 species
CCUACGGGUGACAGCAGUGAGGAAUAUUGGUCAAUGGACGAGAGUCUGAACCAGCCAAGUAGCGUGAAGGAUGACUGCCCUAUGGGUUGUAAACUUCUUUUAUAUGGGAAUAAAACGUUCCACGUGUGGGAUUUUGUAUGUACCAUAUGAAUAAGGAUCGGCUAACUCCGUGCCAGCAGCCGCGGUAAUACGGAGGAUCCGAGCGUUAUCCGGAUUUAUUGGGUUUAAAGGGAGCGUAGGUGGAUUGUUAAGUCAGUUGUGAAAGUUUGCGGCUCAACCGUAAAAUUGCAGUUAAAACUGGCAGUCUUGAGUACAGUAGAGGUGGGCGGAAUUCGUGGUGUAGCGGUGAAAUGCUUAGAUAUCACGAAGAACUCCGAUUGCGAAGGCAGUUCACUGGACUGCAACUGACACUGAGGCUCGAAAGUGUGGGUAUCAAACAGGAUUAGAUACCCGAGUAGUC